rnacentral:rRNA from 1 species
AUACGGAGGGGGCUAGCGUUGUUCGGAAUUACUGGGCGUAAAGCGCACGUAGGCGGCUUUGUAAGUCAGAGGUGAAAGCCUGGAGCUCAACUCCAGAACUGCCUUUGAGACUGCAUCGCUUGAAUCCAGGAGAGGUCAGUGGAAUUCCGAGUGUAGAGGUGAAAUUCGUAGAUAUUCGGAAGAACACCAGUGGCGAAGGCGGCUGACUGGACUGGUAUUGACGCUGAGGUGCGAAAGCGUGGGGAGCAAACAGGAUUAGAAACCCCGGUAGUCC